rnacentral:rRNA from 1 species
AGCUGCGGCAUCAGGCGUAUCACUAAUACGCCUUACGAUUAACAACAUGGAAUGGCGCGAAGCGUCAUGAAAGGUUGUUCAAGCAACCCGAACGUUGAGUCGGGCAUCUUAGAGUAAGGAUGAUUAGUGAUACGCCUGUUGGGUAGGGGAGCGUUGUGUAAGCGGAAGAAGGUUCAUCGAGAGGUGGGCUGGACGUAUCACAAGUGCGAAUGCUGACAUAAGUAACGAUAAAACGGGUGAAAAACCCGUUCGCCGGAAGACCAAGGGUUCCUGUCCAACGUUAAUCGGGGCAGGGUGAGUCGGCUCCUAAGGCGAGGCUGAAAAGCGUAGUCGAUGGGAAACAGGUUAAUAUUCCUGUACUUGGUAAAGCUGCGAUGUGGGGACGGAGUAGGUUAGGUUAUCGCACUGUUGGAUAUGUGCGUUUAAGUUGGUAGGUGGGAAGUUUAGGCAAAUCCGGACUUCCUUAACACAGAGAGAUGAUGACGAGGCUCUACGGAGCUGAAGUAACUGAUACCACGCUUCCAGGAAAAGCCACUAAGCGAAAGGCUUUACUAAACCGUACUGAAAACCGACACAGGUGGUCAGGUAGAGAAUACUCAGGCGCUUGAGAGAACUCGGGUGAAGGAACUAGGCAAAAUAGCACCGUAACUUCGGGAGAAGGUGCGCCGGCGUAGAUUGUAGUCCCUAGCGGGCGAAGGUUGAACCGGUCGAAGAUACCAGCUGGCUGCAACUGUUUAUUAAAAACACAGCACUCUGCAAACACGAAAGUGGACGUAUAGGGUGUGAUGCCUGCCCGGUGCUGGAAGGUUAAUUGAUGGUGUCAUCGCAAGAGAAGCACCUGAUCGAAGCCCCAGUAAACGGCGGCCGUAACUAUAACGGUCCUAAGGUAGCGAAAUUCCUUGUCGGGUAAGUUCCGACCUGCACGAAUGGCAUAAUGAUGGCCAGGCUGUCUCCACCCGAGACUCAGUGAAAUUGAAAUCGCCGUGAAGAUGCGGUGUACCCGCGGCUAGACGGAAAGACCCCGUGAACCUUUACUAUAGCUUGACACUGAACAUUGAAUUUUGAUGUGUAGGAUAGGUGGGAGACUUAGAAGCAGUCACGCCAGUGAUUGUGGAGUCGUCCUUGAAAUACCACCCUUUAACGUUUGAUGUUCUAACGAAGAUUGCGGAACGCGGUCUCGGACAGUGUCUGGUGGGUAGUUUGACUGGGGCGGUCUCCUCCCAAAGCGUAACGGAGGAGCACGAAGGUUUGCUAAUCACGGUCGGACAUCGUGAGGUUAGUGCAAUGGUAUAAGCAAGCUUAACUGCGAGACAGACAAGUCGAGCAGGUACGAAAGUAGGUCAUAGUGAUCCGGUGGUUCUGAAUGGAAGGGCCAUCGCUCAACGGAUAAAAGGUACUCCGGGGAUAACAGGCUGAUACCGCCCAAGAGUUCAUAUCGACGGCGGUGUUUGGCACCUCGAUGUCGGCUCAUCACAUCCUGGGGCUGAAGUAGGUCCCAAGGGUAUGGCUGUUCGCCAUUUAAAGUGGUACGCGAGCUGGGUUUAGAACGUCGUGAGACAGUUCGGUCCCUAUCUGCCGUGGGCGUUGGAUGAUUGAUUGGGGCUGCUCCUAGUACGAGAGGACCGGAGUGGACGCAUCACUGGUGUUCCAGUUGUCUCGCCAGAGGCAUUGCUGGGUAGCUAAAUGCGGAAGAGAUAAGUGCUGAAAGCAUCUAAGCACGAAACUUGCCAAGAGAUGAGUCAUCCCUGACUUUAAGUCAGUAAGGGUUGUUGU